AGCUCCAAUAGCGUAUAUUAAAGUUGUUGCGGUUAAAAAGCUCGUAGUUGGAUCUCUGGUCUUGCCGGCCGGUCUCCCUCAGGGUAGUACUGGACGGCGGACCCGAACUGCUAGUUUUCUGUGCGUGCUCUUCGCUGGGUGCGUACAGUGGCUAGCGCGUUUACUUUGAAAAAAUUAGAGUGCUCAAAGCAGGCACAUGCCUGAAUAGUGGUGCAUGGAAUAAUGGAAUAGGACGUCGGUUCUAUUUGUUGGUUCGGAAUUCGACGUAAUGAUUAAGAGGGACAGACGGGGGCAUUCGUAUUGCUACGUUAGAGGUGAAAUUCUUGGAUCGUAGCACGACGAACAACUGCGAAAGCAUUUGCCAAGAAUGUUUUCA
rnacentral:rRNA from 1 species